CAUGGGGAAGGUGAAGUUCGGAGUCAACGGAUUUGGUCGUAUUGGGCGUCUGGUCACCAGGGCUGAUUUUAACUCUGGUAAAGUGGGUAUUGUCACCAUCAAUGAUCCCUUCAUUGACCUCAUGUUAAUGGUCUACAUGUUCCAGUAUGAUUCCACCUAUGGCAAAUUCCAUGGUACCGUCAAGGCUGAGAAUGGGAAGCUUGUCAUCAAUGGAAAUCCCAUCUCCAUCUUCCAGGAGCAAGAUCCCUCCAAAAUCAAGUGGGGCGAUGCUGGCACUGAGUACAUGGUGGUCAUCAUCUUUGCCCCCUCUGCUGAUGCCCCCAUGAUCAUGAUGGGUAUGAACCAUGAGAAGUAUGACAACAGCCUCAAGAUCGUCAGCAAUGCCUCCUGCACCACCAACUGCUUAGAGCCCCUGGCCAAGGUCCCAAGGUCAUCCAUGACAACUUUGGUAUCAUGGAAGGACUCAUGACCACAGUCCACGCCAUCACUGCCACCCAGAGGACUGUGGAUGGCCCCUCCGGAAACUGUGGUGUGAUGGCCACGGAGCUCUCCAGAACAUCAUCCCUGCCUCUACUGGUGCUGCCAAGGCCAUGGGCAAGAUCAUCCCUGAGCUGAAUGGGAAGCUUACUGGCAUGGCCUUCCACGUCCCCACUGCUGACGCGUCAGUGGUGGACCUGAUCUGCCGUCUGGAAAAACCUGCCAAAUAUGACAACAUCAAGAAGGUGGUGAAGCAGGUGUUGGAGGGCUCCCUCAAGGACAUUCUGGACUUCACUGAGCACCAGGUAGCGUCCUCUGACUUUAACAGCGACACCCACUCUUCCACCUUCGAUGCUGGGGCUGGCAGUGCCCUCAACAACCACUUUGUCAAGCUCAUUUCCUGGUAUGACAAUGAAUUUGGCUACAGCAACAGGGUGGUGGACCUCAUGUCCCACAUGGCCUCCAAGGAGUAAGACCCCUGGACCACAAGCCCCAGCGAGAGCAUGAGAGGAAGAGAGGCCCUCACUGCUGGGGAGUCCCUGCCACACUGAGUCCCCCACCACACCGAAUUGCUCCUCCUCACAGUUUCCGUGCAGACCCCUUGAAGAGGGAAGGGCCUAGGGAGCCCCACCUUGCCAUGUACCAUCAAUAAAGUCCCCUGUGCU